rnacentral:piRNA from 1 species
UAGAGAGACCAGUUCCACUCACCUGCC